ACCUUAUAAAAAUGUGAGGUUACGCCGGAGGCAGACCAGAACACGGCUUCAGCCUACUUGAAGACACCUCCUAACUUGUUGUAAGGAUGAAGCUCCUGGCACUCUAUGGCUUUUUGUUUGUCUUACUUUUGUGCCUCAAUGCCUUUACUGCAGAAGGUCGGAAGGUUAAAAAAGUCUGCUGUUCAAAACUAGCCAAAGUCAACAAAAAGGCAAAUAAAGGUAUGCCUUCCAAGAUGGCUCCAAUGCAAAUAAAAAAAUACUGCAAGCCUUGUGCUCAGCCAGACCCUCUGCGGAUUCCUGGACCCCUUCCGCAGUUAAAAUAAGACUGAGCAGGGUGAAGAAGAGCAUCUGUCUGCCAGCACAUCUCACAGCGCUUCACUUGGUUGGGGGUCUUCCUUUCACAGAUAGGGCCUGAAUGUAUGCUACUCUUAUUUUAGUCGGGAAGGGCUUCAGUCAGUAACGCUUACUCAGUCCCCCAGGCUCCUUCAUCUUGUUAACAUUAACCUGGCAUCUAAAGAGCCAGGUAAAGUUGUCUGGCUGCUACCGGAUUUUUUCAGUUGCACGUUCCUCUGUACCAAACAGGGAUUUAGCUCCUCAAACAAGACAGAGGAGAGCUGGCUGUAUCACUUUGGAUUGCAUUUUUAGAUGGGGAAGGGUUGAAGUUACUGUUUCUAGUUAUCAGUAUAUAUAUAUUUAACCUUUUAUAUGAAUAACUUCUUUUAUAUAGACAAAUGGAUUUUCUUUGUAGCUAGGCACAUGAUGAAUUUGUUCCUUGCUCUCAGUGCUUAAAAUCCACUUGGAAGUGGAUUUCUAUCAAGUGAGAAUGAACUUAUGAUUUAGAAAGGGCUGAGAAACUAGAUUCAAAUAGUUGGGAAGGACCAGAGGACCAGAUUCAAGUACAGUGGCAAGCUUUUUAAUGUCUGGGGUGGGGGGCAAACUACACCUAUUCUUUAACUUCCCAGAAGAAUGUCAUCAGGUGGUUAUUAAAAGGCAUACUGGAAAGGUGUAAGGCUAGUCAGAUUAUUUUUUUUUCCUCCUGAAUCCAGAAGGCAAUUGUUCUUUCAAGGCACUUGAGUUGUGAUCACCUCAAUAAACAAAACUCACUGGAGUAUGAAAUUAAACAAAUGUUAAGAAUUAAUAUCAAAGGACUGAAUAAAAGAGAAACAGAAAUGCUCCCUGCUAAUAUCAUUAGCAGUUACUGGGGUCUUUUCUCCGGUAUCUCCUGUCCUUUUUCUAGCUGUCUCCUGCAUAUGCUGCUAUUUCUAUGCCCGGGGUGAGUCCUUAACCCAGGAUUAAUUGGAGGUUUAUGAAUUUGGCUUUCCUUCUAAUGAAUGUGACAAGGUUUGGAAAGCUUUUUCUGCUCUUGGGCAAAUAUCACUUUGAAAAUAGUAAUUUUACCCUCAAUACUCAGAGUAAUGCUAUUUCCCUAAGGUAAUUUCCUGUAUGAUAAAGAUGGUCUCAGUGCCCUUUAGUAAUCUGGGGGAGUUGAAUGGGGAUGGUCGUAUGCCUGUUGUAACCACCUUCAGGCAAAUCUGUUUCCCAUGAGUCAAAUUAAUGGGCACUUAUAUAUGGCUGUGCUUUCUCAUUGUCAGUGUUUCUAUUGUACUGAACAAUUGAAGUAAUUUCUGGGUCUCCUAUGUGCUUGUUAUUACUUUAUUUUCUUACUGCUCAUGUGAUUAGAUAGAUCUGACCCUCAACUUCCUAGUUUUGAGCUGACCAUGCAUAGCAUUUUCAUACCAAGGAUAAAAAGGAUCCUCCAAUCCUCACAAGAUCUGAGCCAAGAGGUUGGUGAAUGAGCUGUUUGAUAAUUCUGCUGCUGAUCGCUGGGCAAACAUUUAUUUUUGUCUUUUGUAGCUCACAGAAAGUAUCUCAGGAAUAUGAACGAUGAGUAGAUGUGAAAAGUAUUUUGGAUAUUAAAUGUUUGCAGCAGGAGUUUAUACAGAGUUGUAAACACAUGGCCAUAUCUUACAAAGCAUUACUAAGAGGUAUGAGGAUUCUGGUCUUUAACAUGAGCUUAAGCCCAUUUGUUUUACAUUUAAAAAAUGCUAUAACAUUAUCUUGGCCCCGCACCCUCCAAACAGUGUGCUCCACACUCUGAUCUUCCUUCAGGCAAAAAGUUCUCCGACAGCAAAAUCAUAAAGUCCCAAAGGCCAUCAACACUAUUACAGAAAUACUUUGCCUUUGGAGGGAUGCAGGGACAUCAUCCUACGUACUUGAAUAUUUUUAUUCACCUAGUUUCUCAAACUAGCCUCAAGGUAAGGUUGAGGGCUAUUCAAAUUUAAAAAGUAAGGUACUUCUGUGCGGUCCUAGUCCUGACUGAACAAACUAAAGCGGGAUUCCUCAAGCUAUUUCACCACUCAUUGUGACUGUUGCCCAAACAGGCUCUUUGUCUGGCCUACAAGUAUCAGGAGGUCAUGCAUCAGCCUCCUGCAGGUGCUUCCUCACCAAACUUGGACUUUUAUUUCCUGAACUAUUUUCCCUGUGUGGUAGAACAGGGCUACCAUCUGAUCAUGGCUUUGUUUACAGGCACCUGUUCUUCAUUUUGCUUUUCUUUCACUACUAUGUAUAUUUGUUUGGUAUUACCAGAGGAGAAACAUAUUACUCAGUGGCUUUUCAAAGUACACAAGCUGUAUGCUUACAUCAAGUAGUAAAUUCAGCUUGUCCAAGCUGACAAAUGCAUUUAUCUGUAUCUUGUGGUUUUCUGUGUUUGUUUGGCUGUCAAGCAUGAAAAUUGCACAGCCUUCAAGUUCCAAUAAAGAUAUUUUGAUGUA